CUCUCUUUCCUGACACAGUAUCUCAACAAAACAAAAUACCAAAAUAAAACAAAGGCCAAAACCAAAAGCAGAAACAGAUCAAGCAGCUCAACCUCUCUAGCCUCUUAAUGAAUAAUGAUAGAUCGAACCAGAAGCAAAACAGUUGAGUUGAAGAUCGAAGCUCUAGGUCAAAACACACUCUCUCUUUCUCAAUUUUUGUAGUUUUUUCUUUCGACUUCAUCAAAGUCUAAACCCUAAAUGCUCGCCUUCUCAAGCACAACAACUUCAAAAGGAUUUAUCAUUUUCUUGGAGAUCUUAUAGAGUCGUAUUCUUAGCAUCAUCAAAGUCAGCCGCGUCGAGCCGUCAUGGUCUGUGUGACAAGCUAAAAGGUCACAUUGACUUGAGCAAAAGAAUAGUUAAGCUUGUAAAUAGAGGCAGAACAAUUAGCAAGCUCGUUCACUCUAUCGUGCGACCCGUGCCUGAGACUCUUGGAAUCGAAUUAGAGGUAUUGAUUUUGAUUUGAUUGUCGACAUAUUUUUGUUUUUAGAUUUUUUUUUUUUUAUAUUUUAUAGUGUUUAAUUAGCAAUAAAUUUGAAUUUCUAGAGUAAUUUAGGUGUACUGGCGAAUUAAAUGUUGAUUUUAUGUAUUUACUUUUUGAUUUGAAAUCCGCUUUCUCUUAAGUGUUAUUCGUUUGUGUUUCGAAUGCAGGUUUAGUGCUUGAUGAAUUGCCUCAUUCGGGUCUACUUUUUAUGAUGCAGAAAACUUAUUGUUUUUUUUUUCUAUCUAAAUUUGGUUGUUAUUAAUUAAUAAAAGUAGAGAGAUUCAGUUGUUAUUCUUGGUUCUUUAUGCAGAUGGUGCUUUUGCUUUUCUUCUGUGUUCUAUUCUUUUUGUUCAAGAUAUUUAUAGUUGUCGAUCCAAUAUUUAUUUAUUCAUUAGUUUUUACUGAAAGCAUAAAUACUCUUCCACUCGCCAAAAAUUAUUUUAUUCCAGUAGUUUUUCAAUUGUAAUGCCAGCUAGGUCCUACCAAUGCUAUUAUUUUAUGCCAGUAGUUUGAGUUCAGGUUCCCAGUGGUUUUCUUCAUUUUAAACGUGGUUAGGCAAUUGGAGUAUUGAUAACAUUCAAGCCGUUUUUAGUUCAACGCCGCAACUAGAGAAAGAUCCUUUUAAUUUUCAAGCCAAUUAAGUUUUCGGAAUGCUUCAACCAAGUUAUUUCUUUGGGGUUCCAC
rnacentral:lncRNA from 1 species